rnacentral:rRNA from 1 species
UACGUAGGGUGCAAGCGUUGUCCGGAAUUAUUGGGCGUAAAGAGCUCGUAGGCGGUUUGUUGCGUCGGCUGUGAAAUCCCGAGGCUCAACCUCGGGUCUGCAGUCGAUACGAGCAAACUAGAGUGCUGCAGGGGAGACUGGAAUUCCUGGUGUAGCGGUGAAAUGCGCAGAUAUCAGGAGGAACACCGGUGGCGAAGGCGGGUCUCUGGGGCAA